rnacentral:rRNA from 1 species
UAUGGUAAUUGUGUGCCACGCGGUAAUACGUAGGUGGCAAGCGUUGUCCGGAAUUACUGGGUGUAAAGGGAGUGUAGGCGGGAUGUCAAGUCAGAAGUGAAAAUUACGGGCUCAACUCGUAACCUGCUUUUGAAACUGACAUUCUUGAGUGAAGUAGAGGCAAGCGGAAUUCCUAGUGUAGCGGUGAAAUGCGUAGAUAUUAGGAGGAACACCAGUGGCGAAGGCGGCUUGCUGGGCUUUUACUGACGCUGAGGCUCGAAAGCGUGGGGAGCAAACAGG